CCAAAUGAAAGGACACAUUUUUCAUAAACAGCAGUUCACUAGUGAGUGUUGAGACUUUCGGUCUGAGUGA